rnacentral:lncRNA from 1 species
CACAGACAUGGUGGCGUGGCAGGAACAUCUGAAUACCUUGAACCAAUAAUUUGUAAGUUCAAAUCCCAGGGGUACAAUUACAAAAGGGUCCAAAGCUGAAAUGUACUUAUACGAAGUGUUCCUGCAAAAUGUGACAAUAUGGAGGCCAAGGAAUUGCAGUACUAACCCAGACUACAAAUAACCAAUGACCUGUAUCACUGACCAACAACCCUCUCAAUGGAGGCAUUUACCACCCACAUACCAAGAAUUUGGCAGUCCAACCAGCCUCACAACCGCAGACCACGUAUAACCACGCCAGCCCAGGACCUCCACAUCCGGCUUCUUCAUCUGCGGGAUCGUCUGAGACCAGCCACCCGGACAGUUGAUGAAACUGGGGAGUAUUUCUGUCUGUAAUAAAGCCUUUUUGUGGGGAAAACGAAUUCCUAUUGGCUGGGUCUGGCUCCCCAGAGGGUGGGCCUGGCUCCCAAGUGGUUAGGCCUAUGCUCUCCCAAGCCCACCCAUGGCUGUGCCCCUGCCCCGUCAUGUGACAUCAAUAGAUUAGGGCCUAGCACAUUUAUUUCAAUUGACUGAUUUCCUUAUAUGAACUGUAACUCAGUAAAAACUUAGAAAUUGUUGCAAUUUGAGGAUAUUUGUUUGUUCAGUAUAAAAGGUGAACUGAUUCCUCCAAAGGGACAGCUUGGCCUCACAAAAACUGUGAAAACAGUAAGUUUCCAGGGCAACCCAUUGGAGCAACGUGUGAGAAAUGUCACCAAACAAAGGCAGGAGUUGGACUCUGUGAGCUCAGACAGAGUGAAACUUUUGUAUGCUUGCCAAUACCUUUUUACUUUCUAGGUCAGCCACACACCAAAUGAGUCCUUUCUCGGUGUAACCUUUGUAAAGUCAAAUAAAAGAAGGGAAAAAGCUUGAUAGAUGAUAGAUGGGCAAUUUACAGUAGCUAAAUAAAAAAUAUAUAUAUAUUGUGUUCAUUUGAUACAUUUGUUAUACAGUAUGUAUCAUCCUCAUUUAUUAUCAUUAACCUCAUUUGAAGACAAUAAAGUUGGCAUAAAAAUAAAAAAUCUACAACCACAUGAGCCAUGCCUGAGUAUGUUGAAUGGUAGUGACCUACCAAAAAAGGAACAUUGUUUCUUCAGAUCUUGCAGGAAGGCCACAGUGCACGACUUGCUAAAGAAAGCGUGAGCUCACUUAUAUCUCCAUCUGCACACUCUUAAAAUGAAAAAUGUUAUAAUUUCCUCCAAAGUUGAUCCAAUUUCUUGUGUUUAGUACAGCAGUGUCGAAUUCUUCAGUUCCCUGGCAAUGUUUUGCACCUGUGUUGAGGCAGGGCUCUCUCAACACCUGGCUGAUCACUCCCCAGGGGCUGGAUUAAGUUUGCAGAAGCUCCAUGCCUGUCCCCACCUGUCCUGCCAUCUCCGCGAUUCUGAAGCUCUACUCAAUUAGAGGAUUUCCCACAAUCCUUCUGUUUAC